GAAAACCAACUGGGAUUACCUUAGUAACGGCGAGUGAAGCGGUAAAAGCUCAAAUUUGAAAUCUGGUACUUUCAGUGCCCGAGUUGUAAUUUGUAGAAUUUGUCUUUGAUUAGGUCCUUGUCUAUGUUCCUUGGAACAGGACGUCAUAGAGGGUGAGAAUCCCGUUUGGCGAGGAUACCUUUUCUCUGUAAGACUUUUUCGAAGAGUCGAGUUGUUUGGGAAUGCAGCUCAAAGUGGGUGGUAAAUUCCAUCUAAAGCUAAAUAUUGGCGAGAGACCGAUAGCGAACAAGUACAGUGAUGGAAAGAUGAAAAGAACUUUGAAAAGAGAGUGAAAAAGUACGUGAAAUUGUUGAAAGGGAAGGGCAUUUGAUCAGACAUGGUGUUUUUGCAUGCACUCGCCUCUCGUGGGCUUGGGCCUCUCAAAAAUUUCACUGGGCCAACAUCAAUUCUGGCAGCAGGAUAAAUCAUUAAGAAUGUAGCUACUUCGGUAGUGUUAUAGCUUUUUGGAAUACUGUUAGCCGGGAUU
rnacentral:rRNA from 1 species